GAUGAACGCUGGCGGCGUGCCUAAUACAUGCAAGUCGAGCGAAGCGGGGACGGGUGGGUAACACGUGGAUAACCUCCUCUAAGACUGGGAUAACUUCGGGUAGCCGGAGCUAAACCGCCUCCUUAUUGCUCGAUCCGCGCUGCCUUAGCUAGUUGGUAAGGUAACGGCUUACCAAGGCAACGAUGCAUAGCCGACCUGAGGGGGGGAUCGGCCACACUGGAACUGAGACACGGUCCAGACUCCUACGGGAGGCAGCAGUAGGGAAUCUUCCGCAAUGGGCGAAAGCCUGACGGAGCAACGCCGCGUGAGUGAUGAAGGUCUUCGGAUCGUAAAACUCUGUUAUUAGGGAAGCGGUACCUAAUCAGAAAGCCACGGCUAACUCCGUGCCAGCAGCCGCGGUAAUAC
rnacentral:rRNA from 1 species